UUACCCACUCCCGGCACGGGGAGGUAGUGACGAAAAAUAACAAUACGGGACUCUUUUGAGACCCCGUAAUUGGAAUGAGUACACUCUAAAUCCUUUAACGAGGAUCCAUUGGAGAGCAAGUCUGGUGCCAGCCGUCGCGGUAAUUCCAGCUCCAAUAGCGUAUAUUAAAGUUGUUGCGGUUAAAAAGCUCGUAGUUGGAUCUCAGCUCGAGACGGACGGUCCGCCUACCGGUGGUUACUGUCCGUUCUCAGCAUUUCGUUAGCCAUUCCAGAUGAUCUUCAUCGGUUGUCUAGAGUGACUGACAAGUUUACUUUGAAAAAAUUAGAGUGCUCAAAGCAGACGUGACGUCUGAAUAAUUGUGCAUGGAAUAAUGGAAUAGGACCUCGGUUCUAUUUUGUUGGUUUUCGGAACACGAGGUAAUGAUUAAGAGGGACAGACGGGGGCAUUCGUACUGCGACGCUAGAGGUGAAAUUCUUGGACCGUCGCAUGACGAACUACUGCGAAAGCAUUUGCCAAGAAUGUUUCCAUUAAUCAAGAACGAAAGUUAGAGGUCCGAAGGCGAUCAGAUACCGCCCUAGUUCUAACCAUAAACGAUGCCAGCCAGCGAUCCGGCUGUGUUCCUCAAAUGACACGCCGGGCAGCUUCCGGGAAACCAAAGCUUUUGGGUUCCGGGGGAAGUAUGGUUGCAAAGCUGAAACUUGAAGGAAUUGACGGAAGGGCACCACCAGCAAUGGAGCCUGCGGCUCAAUUUGACUCAACACGGGAAAACUUACCCGGCCCGGACACAGGAAGGAUUGACAGAUUAAGAGCUCUUUCUUGAUUCUGUGGGUAGUGGUGCAUGGC
rnacentral:rRNA from 1 species